GAAGCUGUGGUGUAAAAGAACAAACAGAAACAGACUUCAGGAGAACAAAAUGAAGAUUUAAUAACUUAAAUCAAGAUAUUUAACAUUUAAUUUAAAUAGAACAUCAUCAUUCUGCAACACUGAAUAUUAAACUGUUUCACUCAGAGGGUUAAACUCUUCUGUAAACAAUUAAUUACAUUCAAAAAUCUCUUCAUCAGUCAGUGAUGAUGGGCAGACAGGUGAGGUCAGGUGAGGUCAGGUAAGGACAGGUGAGGACGGGUGAGAUCAGGUGAGGUCGGGUGAGGUCAGGUGAGGUCAGUCAGUGUUGAUGUGCAGACAGGUGAGGUCAGGUGAGGUCAGUCAGUGUUGAUGUGCAGACAGGUGAGGUCAGGUGAGGACAGGUGAGGUGAGACAGGUGAGGUCAGGUGAGGUCA